GACGUAGGGCGCGAGCGUUGUCCGGAUUUAUUGGGCGUAAAGAGCUCGUAGGCGGCUUGUCGCGUCGAAUGUGAAAACUCGGGGCUCAACCCCGCGCUUGCAUUCGAUACGGGCAGGCUCGAGUUCGGUAGGGGAGACUGGAAUUCCUGGUGUAGCGGUGAAAUGCGCAGAUAGUCAGAGGAACACCGGUGGCGAAGGCGGUCUCUGGGCCGAUACUGACGCUGAGGAGCGAAGCGUGGGAGCGA
rnacentral:rRNA from 1 species